UACGUAGGGUGCAAGCAUUAAUCGGAUUUAUUGGGCGUAAAGGGCGCGUAGGUGGAAAGGCAAGUCAACUGUGAAAUCCCGGGGCUCAACCCCGGAACAGCAUUUGAAACUACAUUUCUAGAGGGUAGGCGGAGAAAACGGAAUUCCACAAGUAGCGGUGAAAUGCGUAGAUAUGUGGAAGAACACCAGUGGCGAAGGCGGUUUUCUAGCUUAUACCUGACGCUGAGGCGCGAAAGCAAGGGGAGCAAACAGG
rnacentral:rRNA from 1 species